rnacentral:rRNA from 1 species
UACAGAGGUCCCAAGCGUUGUUCGGAUUCACUGGGCGUAAAGGGUGCGUAGGUGGUCGGGUAAGUUUGAUGUGAAAUCUCGAAGCUCAACUUCGAAACUGCAUUGAAUACUAUUCGGCUAGAGGGUCGGAGGGGGGACUGGAAUUCUCGGUGUAGCAGUGAAAUGCGUAGAUAUCGAGAGGAACACCAGUGGCGAAGGCGAGUCCCUGGACGACUCCUGACACUGAGGCACGAAAGCUAGGGGAGCAAACAGG